AGGACACUCACGAUAAUAGAUUGUAAUUAGUCACUUUUCCAGCCUGUUCUUUGUUAACCUAACCAGCAACGCUGUCCAUGGGUCUGAGACAAGUUUUGCAUGGUGAUUCAGGACAAUUCCAGAAGAGUUGUGAUGGAGAGAGACAUCUGCAUUGAGAGACAAUUAUGGGAACUGAAUUGGAUCAAAACAGUAUUUUCACCUUAUUUAUUAUUGUUGUUUGCUU
rnacentral:lncRNA from 1 species